rnacentral:rRNA from 1 species
UACGUAGGUGGCAAGCGUUGUCCGGAUUUACUGGGUGUAAAGGGCGUGCAGCCGGAGAGACAAGUCAGAUGUGAAAUCCACGGGCUCAACCCGUGAACUGCAUUUGAAACUGUUUCCCUUGAGUGUCGGAGAGGUAAUCGGAAUUCCUUGUGUAGAGGUGAAAUGCGUAGAUAUAAGGAAGAACACCAGUGGCGAAGGCGGAUUACUGGACGAUAACUGACGGUGAGGCGCGAAAGCGUGGGGAGCAAACAGG